UGGGGAAUUUUGGACAAUGGGCGAAAGCCUGAUCCAGCAAUGCCGCGUGUGUGAAGAAGGCCUUCGGGUUGUAAAGCACUUUUGUCCGGAAAGAAAUCCUUGGCUCUAAUACAGUCGGGGGAUGACGGUACCGGGAGAAUAAGCACCGGCUAACUACGUGCCAGCAGCCGCGGUAAUACGUAGGGUGCAAGCGUUAAUCGGAAUUACUGGGCGUAAAGCGUGCGCAGGCGGUUUGCUAAGACCGAUGUGAAAUCCCCGGGCUCAACCUGGGAACUGCAUUGGUGACUGGCAGGCUAGAGUAUGGCAGAGGGGGGUAGAAUUCCACGUGUAGCAGUGAAAUGCGUAGAGAUGUGGAGGAAUACCGAUGGCGAAGGCAGCCCCCUGGGCCAAUACUGACGCUCAUGCACGAAAGCGUGGGGAGCAAAACAGGAUUAGAUACCCUGGUAGUCCACGCCCUAAAACGAUGUCAACUAGUUGUUGGGGAUUCAUUUCCUUAGUAACGUAGCUAACGCGUGAAGUUGACCGCCUGGGGAGUACGGUCGCAAGAUUAAAACUCAAAGGAAUUGACGGGGUCAUAGCUGUUUCCU
rnacentral:rRNA from 1 species